UGACAGGGCUUUCUGGUGGACUUGGGGAUGGACUACAAGGUCAAGUCUGAACAGCAGUAGUGUCCUGAAACAUGUUGGACACCAAUGUCCCCAAAGAAAAGCACAGAGUAGUGGCCACCAUGGACGCCUGUGGUGUAGACCCCACUAGCUGUGGCUGACUUCCAGUUGUGCCUCGGGGAGUUGAUGCUGCUCAGACAACAUUUGCUGACCUGGCUCUGCUCCCAUCAGUGUGUGCUCCAGGACAGACCUACUGGCUGCUGUCAAGGACUCUGGGUCAACUCCAGGCCUCCGUGACCUACUUCCUACGCAUAACAUCAUCCUCCAGCCUCUGUGUCAAGAAGGCAGUCCCCAUGUCCCCCAGCUAAGGACAGGGUCAGAUCCCUCACCCUGUGCUUUCUUCACCUUAGGGGUUCUGAGCUUGCCGAGACCCAAACUUUGCUUGCCAAUGUCAGGGUGCACAGUCCUGGGCAUAGGGACAUCUAGACUCAUGGGGAGUCUAGAGUCCCCCACUUCCUGGGAAGAGAAGCUGGGGUCUAAGCAGGGAUCAAGUUUCAGCCCUGUGUGUUUCCCCUGAGUGACAGCCACAUGCUCUACACAAGGGUCUACAGCUCUCACCAUGCCAGUACAGACAAAGGAGUUCAACACUGGUGCUGAACCUGAGGAGAGAGACUCAAGCCGUAUUCCUAGGGAGGCUACUGCCCAAAUAAGCAUGGGAAGAUACCCAAGAUGGCUAGGCUGGCCAUGUUGGGAACAGCCUUUCUGAGCUGCCCCAGAGGAGGCAGCAACUGGGCUAAGACCAGAAAGAUAAGAGUGGAGGAGAGAGAAGGCUGGCAAGAGGACAGCAUGUAGGUGCAAAGGCCCUGUGGUUGGCAGUUUGAGAAAAUGAUAGGUAAAGCCAGAGGGAGAGAGGUCUGAGGGUUGUUGUGAUUCACAAGGGAGCCAGUAGCCACUAGAGGAGCUUGCUGUUUCUUCCAGGGAGGUGACGCAUGGCCAAUGAACAUUUGGAAGACUAGAGAGGAGGAGGGUGUGGGUCGCGAGCUUUGGCAGUUGUCCCAGGAAAGCCUCAAAGUCACAGCUACUUCCUGUCCCCAGGAGGAAGUGGAAGGAGCUUUCCUAGGGAGGGCUGGCUUCCAGGUAGUUCUGGGUACAUAUGCCUAUACGUGGGUAUGUGCUUGUGUGCCUGUCUGUCAGUGCAUGGGUGCACGUUGCACACAGGUGGAUGUGUACACAGAGGGUUUGCGGGUCGGCAGCGGUGUCUCAGUGUGUGCAGUGGGGACCGAGAUCAUGGAGACUCUUGUCUCCCCCCAGCCAGUGUGGUCUAGCUCCUUUUCUCCUAGGGUGAUAAGUGUGGUGCCAGCUGGGGAGACAUAGACAGGAAGUGCAGCCAUUUCUGCAGGCAGCUGCAGACCAAGGCACAGCAGGCAUCGUGUGUCCCUUGGCCCACUCUGGAGUGCAUGCCUCCUCUGGGACAUUGUGGGAAGAAAGGCCCAAGAAGCUGGGGCAUCAGGUCUAUGAGGCAAAGUGUGUGCAUCUGCAUCUGGGGGGAGAAUACCUGCCCCCUGGAGGACUUCAGGCAGACCCUCACUUGGUUUUUAACCUCUCCCUGCUGUUCACCACCUCCGUUAAACAGUGCCUCUCCUUGGUGCUGGCAUAAAUGGACCUGAACAUUC